rnacentral:siRNA from 1 species
CGCCCGUCUCAAGCAGCUCGUCAG